UACGAAGGGGGCUAGCGUUGUUCGGAUUUACUGGGCGUAAAGCGCACGUAGGCGGGUUGUUAAGUCAGGGGUGAAAUCCUGGAGCUCAACUCCAGAACUGCCUUUGAUACUGGCAACCUAGAGGCUGGAAGAGGUUAGUGGAAUUCCCAGUGUAGAGGUGAAAUUCGUAGAUAUUGGGAAGAACACCAGUGGCGAAGGCGGCUAACUGGUCCAGAUCUGACGCUGAGGUGCGAAAGCGUGGGGAGCGAACAGG
rnacentral:rRNA from 1 species